rnacentral:misc_RNA from 1 species
GCGAUGUAUGCCGGAGUCCCCACUGUUGAUUUGGGCCGAGAGUGCAGCAGCGAUGACUUGGAGUACCCAAAGUCACAGAUUUUCAGCCGCGGCGCCGGGCUGCCGUCGAGGAGCGUGUUCUCUAGCUUAAGAUCUCGGUGACAGAUUUGCAUGAAGUGGCAGUAGCUGACGCCUGAGAUGAGUUGCUGGAAGAAAUAUCUCGCCUCAUCCUCACUGAAUCGUCCGGCGUUGCAAAUCCGAUCGAACAGCUCCCCGCCGGCGGCGUACUCCAUUACGAUAGCCAGAUGCUCCGGCGUCAGCAGCAGCUCCUUGAAUCGUAUAAUGUUCGGGUGGCGCAGCGAGCGGUGGUUGAUGAUCUCCCUCGCCACAUUGUCGUUGAUCUUGUGGCCCCGGGGGAUGAGCUUGACGGCCAGGAGCUCGCCGGUCUCGAGAUGGCGCAUGAGCCGGGCGACGCCGAAGUUGCCUGAGCCGAUGUCUUUGACGAGCUCGUACUUGUCCAUCGCCGGCGCCGGUGGUG